rnacentral:rRNA from 1 species
AGUGAACGCUGGCGGCAGGCCUAACACAUGCAAGUCGAACGGCAGCACAAGAGAGCUUGCUCUCUGGGUGGCGAGUGGCGGACGGGUGAGGAAUGCAUCGGAAUCUGCCCAUUUGUGGGGGAUAACCUCGGGAAACCGGGACUAAUACCGCAUACGACCUACGGGUGAAAGCAGGGGAUCUUCGGACCUUGCGCAGAUGGAUGAGCCGAUGCCGGAUUAGCUAGUUGGAGGGGUAAAGGCCCACCAAGGCGACGAUCCGUAGCUGGUCUGAGAGGAUGAUCAGCCACACUGGGACUGAGACACGGCCCAGACUCCUACGGGAGGCAGCAGUGGGGAAUAUUGGACAAUGGGCGCAAGCCUGAUCCAGCCAUGCCGCGCGUGUGAAGAAGGCCUUCGGGUUGUAAAGCACUUUUGUUGGGAAAGAAAAGCAGCCGGUUAAUACCCGGUUGUCAUGACGGUACCCAAAGAAUAAGCACCGGCUAACUUCGUG